AACGAACGCUGGCGGCAUGGUUAAGGCAUGCAAGUCGAACGCGAAAGUUUUUUUCGAAAGACGAGUAGAGUGGCGAAAGGGCGAGUAAUGCAUGGGUAACGUACCCUGGGCACGAGGAUAGCCCCGAGAAAUCGGGGGUAAUACUCGAUGAGACCACGGUGUCAUAUGGCACAGUGAUCAAAGGCGGGGAUCCCUUCGGGGACCUGUCGGCCUGGGAGCGGCCCAUGUCCUAUCAGCUUGUUGGUGAGGUAACGGCUCACCAAAGCUUCGACGGGUAGCGGGACUGAGAGGUUGGCCCGCCGCAUUGGGACUGAGACACUGCCCAGACUCCUACGGGAGGCUGCAGCACCGAAUAUUGUGCAAUGGGCGCAAGCCUGACACAGCAAUGCCGCGUGCGGGAGGAAGUCCUUCGGGAUGUAAACCGCUGUCAGGGGUCACCAAGCAAUGGGGUCUAAUAUACCCCGGCGUUGAGGAGCCCCAGAGGAAGCCACGGCUAACUUCGUGCCAGCAGCCGCGGUAANACGAAGGUGGCGAGCGUUGUUCGGAAUCACUGGGCUUAAAGAGCACGUAGGCGGACCGUCAAGCGUCUUGUGAAAUCCCUCGGCUUAACCGAGGAACUGCUUGGCGAACUGGCGGUCUUGAGGCAGGCAUGGGUGUGUGGAACUCUUGGUGGAGCGGUGGAAUGCGUAGAUAUCAAGAGGAACGCCGGAGGUGAAGACGACGCACUGGGCCUGCUCUGACGCUGAGGUGCGAAAGCCAGGGGAGCGAACGGGAUUAGAUACCCCGGUAGUCCUGGCCCUAAACGAUGUCCACUAGGUCGACGGUUCUCUGACGGAUUAUCGGCCGAAACUAAAGCGAUAGGUGGACCGCCUGGGGAGUACGGUCGCAAGGCUAAAACUCAAAGGAAUUGACGGGUGCUCACACAAGCGGUGGAGCAUGCUGCUUAAUUCGAUGCAACGCGAAGAACCUUAUCCUGGGCUUGACAUGUACGAAUGCCUAUCCUGAAAGGGAGUCGGCUGCCCUUCGGGGUGAAACGUACACAGGUGCUGCAUGGCUGUCGUCAGCUCGUGUCGUGAGAUGUUGGGUUAAGUCCCGUAACGAGCGAAACCCUUGUCGCUAGUUGCCAGCGUGUCUUCGGAUGACGGGGACUCUAGCGAGACUGCCGGUGUCAAACCGGAGGAAGGUGGGGAUGACGCCAAGUCCUCAUGGCCUUUAUGCCCAGGGCUGCAAGCGUGCUACAAUGGCCGGGCCAAACCGACGCGAGACCGCGAGGUGGAGCAAAUCGGUAAAAACCGGCCUCAGUUCGGAUUGGAGUCUGCAACUCGACUCCAUGAAGUUGGAAUCGCUAGUAAUCGCGUAUCAGCUACGACGCGGUGAAUGUGUUCCUGAGCAUUGUACACACCGCCCGUCAAGUCAUGGAAGCCGGGAGCACCCGAAGUCGCCAUAUUUCAAUGGUGCCGAAGGUGAGUUCGGUAACUGGGACU
rnacentral:rRNA from 1 species